GAUGAACGCUAGCUACAGGCUUAACACAUGCAAGUCGAGGGGCAGCAUGAACUUAGCUUGCUAAGUUUGAUGGCGACCGGCGCACGGGUGAGUAACACGUAUCCAACCUGCCGAUGACUCGGGGAUAGCCUUUCGAAAGAAAGAUUAAUACCUGAUGGUAUCUUAAGCAUACAUGUAAUUAAGAUUAAAGAUUUAUCGGUGUACGAUGGGGAUGCGUUCCAUUAGGUAGUAGGCGGGUAACGGCCCACCUAGCCUACGAUGGAUAGGGGUUCUGAGAGGAAGGUCCCCCACAUUGGAACUGAGACACGGUCCAAACUCCUACGGGAGGCAGCAGUGAGGAAUAUUGGUCAAUGGACGAGAGUCUGAACCAGCCAAGUAGCGUGAAGGAUGAAGGUCCUACGGAUUGUAAAACUUCUUUUAUAAGGGAAUAAAACCUCCACGUGUGGGAGCUUGUAUGUACCUUAUGAAUAAGCAUCGGCUAACUCCGUG
rnacentral:rRNA from 1 species